rnacentral:rRNA from 1 species
AACGAACGCUGGCGGCAGGCUUAACACAUGCAAGUCGAGCGAGACCUUCGGGUCUAGCGGCGGACGGGUGAGUAACGCGUGGGAACGUGCCCUUCUCUACGGAAUAGCCCCGGGAAACUGGGAGUAAUACCGUAUACGCCCUUUGGGGGAAAGAUUUAUCGGAGAAGGAUCGGCCCGCGUUGGAUUAGGUAGUUGGUGGGGUAAUGGCCCACCAAGCCGACGAUCCAUAGCUGGUUUGAGAGGAUGAUCAGCCACACUGGGACUGAGACACGGCCCAGACUCCUACGGGAGGCAGCAGUGGGGAAUCUUAGACAAUGGGGGCAACCCUGAUCUAGCCAGGCCGCGUGAGUGAUGAAGGCCUUAGGGUUGUAAAGCUCUUUCAGCUGGGAAGAUAAUGACGGUACCAGCAGAAGAAGCCCCGGCUAACUCCGUG